UGAGGAUGCCACAAAGAAGAGGAGGACGUAGGAGGUUGGCAGCCCCUGCUGUCUCAUUGUUCCGAGCAAACUUGUGGAGCUGUUGUUUACUUGUCAAAUCCUUGAAAGAAUUUUCAGAGGUGGCCAAGGUGGGCACACCAGAAUGAGAAGCACACUUGAAGGAAAAUUUGACAAAAACUGUUUGUCUUUUAAUCAUGUCAUCACUUGGCUAUCAACAUGUUCAGGGUGUACCCCGCCUUCUGCCCGAAGAUAGCUCGGAGAGUCUCCAGCACUCCUGUGACCCUUGUGAGGAUAAGCA